rnacentral:rRNA from 1 species
AUGAACGCUGGCGGCGUGCUUAACACAUGCAAGUCGCACGAGGCGGAGGGGGCAACCCCUCCAGUCGAGUGGCGGACGGGUGAGUAACACGUGGGUAACCUGCCCGGAAGUGGGGAAUACCUCGGGGAAACUCGAGCUAAUACCGCAUGACAUCUUUGGGACGAGAGUCCUGAUGAUCAAAGCGGGGUCGCAAGAUCUCGCGCUACCGGAUGGGCCCGCGCCCGAUUAGCUAGUUGGCGAGGUAACGGCUCACCAAGGCAACGAUCCGUAGCUGAUCUGAGAGGAUGAUCAGCCACACUGGGACUGAGACACGGCCCAGACUCCUACGGGAGGCAGCAGUGGGGAAUCUUGGACAAUGGGCGCAAGCCUGAUCCAGCCAUGCCGCGUGAGUGAAGAAGGCCUUAGGGUUGUAAAGCUCUUUUACCAGGGACGAUAAUGACGGUACCUGGAGAAUAAG